rnacentral:rRNA from 1 species
ACGAACGCUGGCGGCGCGCCUAACACAUGCAAGUCGAACGGAGCUAUUUUGGCAGAACCUUUCGGGGGGAAGCCGGUUUAGCUUAGUGGCGGACGGGUGAGUAACACGUGAGCAACCUGCCUUUCAGAGGGGGAUAACGUUUGGAAACGAACGCUAAUACCGCAUAACGCAGCGGGCCGGCAUCGGCCUGCUGCCAAAGGAGCAAUCCGCUGAAAGAUGGGCUCGCGUCCGAUUAGAUAGUUGGUGAGGUAACGGCCCACCAAGUCGACGAUCGGUAGCCGGACUGAGAGGUUGAACGGCCACAUUGGGACUGAGACACGGCCCAGACUCCUACGGGAGGCAGCAGUGGGGGAUAUUGCACAAUGGGCGAAAGCCUGAUGCAGCGACGCCGCGUGAGGGAAGACGGCCUUCGGGUUGUAAACCUCUGUCUUUGGGGACGAUAAUGACGGUACCCAAGGAGGAAGCUCCGGCUAACUACGUGCCAGCAGCCGCGGUAAUACGUAGGGAGCGAGCGUUGUCCGGAAUUACUGGGUGUAAAGGGAGCGUAGGCGGGAGUGCAAGUUGGAUGUGAAAACCAUGGGCUCAACCCAUGGACUGCAUUCAAAACUGUAUUUCUUGAGUGAUGUAGAGGCAGGCGGAAUUCCUAGUGUAGCGGUGAAAUGCGUAGAUAUUAGGAGGAACACCAGUGGCGAAGGCGGCCUGCUGGGCAUUUACUGACGCUGAGGCUCGAAAGUGUGGGGAGCAAACAGGAUUAGAUACCCUGGUAGUCCACACCGUAAACGAUGAUUACUAGGUGUGGGUGCGUCAAGCAUCCGUGCCGGAGUUAACACAAUAAGUAAUCCACCUGGGGAGUACGACCGCAAGGUUGAAACUCAAAGGAAUUGACGGGGGCCCGCACAAGCAGUGGAGUAUGUGGUUUAAUUCGAAGCAACGCGAAGAACCUUACCAGGUCUUGACAUCGGAUGCAUAGCUUAGAGAUAAGUGAAGUCCUUCGGGACAUCCAGACAGGUGGUGCAUGGUUGUCGUCAGCUCGUGUCGUGAGAUGUUGGGUUAAGUCCCGCAACGAGCGCAACCCUUAUGUUUAGUUGCUACGCAAGAGCACUCUAAAGAGACUGCCGUUGACAAAACGGAGGAAGGUGGGGAUGACGUCAAAUCAUCAUGCCCCUUAUGACCUGGGCCACACACGUACUACAAUGGCGAUCAACAGAGGGAAGCAAAGCCGCGAGGCAGAGCAAACCCCUAAAAGUCGUCUCAGUUCGGAUUGCAGGCUGCAACCCGCCUGCAUGAAGCCGGAAUUGCUAGUAAUCGCGGAUCAGCAUGCCGCGGUGAAUACGUUCCCGGGCCUUGUACACACCGCCCGUCACACCAUGGAAGUCGGUAACACCCGAAGCCAGUAGCCCAACCGCAAGGAGGACGCUGUCGAAGGUGGGAUUGAUAACUGGGGUG